UGGGUUUUUGACGAGCGUUUUCGUCCUUCUUAACCCUUCUGACAACAGUGUAAAGCGUCUACUCUCAGAGUUGGCUUUUAUCUCACGGAAGAGGAGGAGAUACCAGGAGCGCAUGUGCACAAAGAAAGCCCACUCAAGGACACAGUGAGAAGGAAGCCGAGGAGAGAGGCCUCAGGAGAAACGAAAUCUGCCAACACCUUGAUCUUGGACUUCCAGCCUGCAGAAUUGAAAAUGUAUAUCGAAGAGGAUUAAAUUAAUCAUACUUCUGAAUACAAGGACGCACUGUUGGAGCAUACUCUCUCAGUUGUGUUGAGAGACUUCCCUGCUGAUAUUUUAGAGAUACAGAUGAAGCCAGACAGAUCAAGCUGCUUCUCAUUCUUAUCCCAAGAAGCUGGCUGACUGCAGGGCCUCCGGACUCUGUCAGGGAAGACACUCCUUCCCAGAAGUUCCCAGCAACUCUCAUUUAUGCGUAGCCACAAGGCGUGAUGGGAAAUGAGUAUGUGGCAUUUUGAGCCUCCAUCAUGGAAACAGGCUCCACCCAGAGGAAGCAGCGGGUAGAUCUGGCUAUUGGAUAUGUUGCACGGUCUAAUCGAUAGACCCAGAAAAGGAAGAUAGAUCUCGGUGUCAGCAUGGAGGGAACAUGCAUGGGG